CCCACAGAAAAAUACAGAGUAGAGAUCUCACUAAGCACAUAACGUUACUUGCCGGGCUCCAGGUUGCCCUUUAAUGCAUAAUCCCAAAUCCCAGAUCACAGAAUUAGAAGCAGCAACCUACCUACUGAUCACAAAAAGAGAAGGAACCUUCCUCUCUCAAAUACUUCAAACCAUUUCUUCUUCUUCUUCUUCUUCUUCAGUUGGCGUUGCUCUGUCGCCUCGCUGCCCGCUCCUCUCAGGUAUUGGGCAUCGCAUUGGUAAAUAAUGUUAAUGGUUAACUUCGAACCCCAUGGCCAUGUAUUUACGUAGGAUUUAUAGAUCUAAAUAAAUAAUUAGAAGACAGGAAAAACAGGUUCAGGGGAAGGUCCGUCCAUUGAUUACGUCGUCUAUUGUGAAAGAGCACAACUGGUAAAUCUGCCAGAAUUAUAUAUAUUUUUCCUAUGGGGUGGGGGGGACCCAAGCUCCUCUUACAAAUCAAUUGAGACUAGAGGAAUAACUGGAAACUUGGUGAUCUAGACAUUUUUUUUCCAAAGAAAGGGAAAAAAGCCCUGGUGUUACACUGAGCACCUGGCCUCUUAUUCUCUCCCGUCUCGACUGCUGUAAAUAAAAGUGAAGGGUGAGAGUCGUGAAACAUUAAGAGCAACAAUGGAAGGGUCACAAGGAGGAGGAUCAGAGAGAGAAAAGUCCAAUUCAUCAUCAUCCACUACCCCAGUAUAUGCUGUCGCUACUUUCUG